rnacentral:rRNA from 1 species
UGGGGAAUUUUGGACAAUGGGCGAAAGCCUGAUCCAGCAAUGCCGCGUGUGUGAAGAAGGCCUUCGGGUUGUAAAGCACUUUUGUCCGGAAAGAAAUCCUUGGCUCUAAUACAGUCGGGGGAUGACGGUACCGGAAGAAUAAGCACCGGCUAACUACGUGCCAGCAGCCGCGGUAAUACGUAGGGUGCAAGCGUUAAUCGGAAUUACUGGGCGUAAAGCGUGCGCAGGCGGUUUGCUAAGACCGAUGUGAAAUCCCCGGGCUCAACCUGGGAACUGCAUUGGUGACUGGCAGGCUAGAGUAUGGCAGAGGGGGGUAGAAUUCCACGUGUAGCAGUGAAAUGCGUAGAGAUGUGGAGGAAUACCGAUGGCGAAGGCAGCCCCCUGGGCCAAUACUGACGCUCAUGCACGAAAGCGUGGGGAGCAAACAGGAUUAGAUACCCUGGUAGUCCACGCCCUAAACGAUGUCAACUAGUUGUUGGGGAUUCAUUUCC